UACGAAGGUCCCAAGCGUUAUCCGGAUUUAUUGGGUUUAAAGGGUGCGUAGGCGGGCUGUUAAGUCAGUGGUGAAAGCUCCAUGCCUAACAUGGAAAUUGCCAUUGAUACUGACGGUCUUGAGUACAUUUGAAGUGGGCGGAAUGUGUCAUGUAGCGGUGAAAUGCUUAGAUAUGACACAGAACACCGAUUGCGAAGGCAGCUCACUAAACUGUAACUGACGCUGAGGCACGAAAGCGCGGGGAGCAAACAGG
rnacentral:rRNA from 1 species